GCGAUGGAUUUGUUGGCGCGUGCCGGUGUGUGGCGCUGCCAUGGGCGUUGGGCCUCUAUGUGGGCUGCCUGAUUGGGCCCUCUCGGCUGGGAGAGUGGCUGACUGCUAUUGUCCCAUGGGCGGAUCGAUCAAGAUUCAAGAACUGAACUCUUGAUUCUCCACCUCAAAAUCUGGUUCUCUGAUUCUCUACCCCUCUGAUCCCCUGUUUCUUGCUAAUCUAUUGCUUAUUCCCACCUUACACUUCUAUUUCCCCCAAUUUCUAUCCUCAGUUACUAAGUAUUUGCAUUUGGAGGUGGAUUUAUCUCUUGUGCUUGUGCUUGAUUUGUUGAGAAUUAAGCGGGUUCUUGACAAUAUUGUAUCAGGGCCGUCGAUUUGUGGGGUUUCUGGUGUUGAGAUGGUGUGUGAUAGCACCGAUGGCCAGAGAAGCGGUCAACAGCUUGAUGGAGGUGCUUCCGAACGUGAUGCCCACCACCUGUUCGGUGAAAUGCCGAGCCAAUUGGGACAUGACUCAAGUGCUGUUCUUCACGUCGCUGUGAGCCAUGGUCUAUUCCCGGUGACCCACGAGGUGCUUAGUCAGGUCUAUGACGCCUAUGGUGCAGUGGCAGUGCAGGUGCUUGCCGUGAGCUUGGGGCAUUGAGGCUCUCAUCUGAUUCUAGACUCUAGUCAAGCUACGACACCGGGAAGGUUCGGUCUGCCACUAAUGGACGCAACGUCUAUGAUGGGUGCUGCCUGCUUUGAUGUCCAGCGUGCGCAGCUCUUCCCUCGGAACGGGGCUGACGUGACACCCACCAAGAGUUCGGCGUCGGGAACAAGUGGCACCAUCACCAAACCAGUAGCUGAGAGCACCGCAGUUGCAGUAGAACACGUGUUCCCAGCCACCCCGGCCUCAUCUGCACCCUUAAUUUCAUCGACGGCCAUGAUGACACCGAUUUCCCUCACCAUGACCAAGGAGGCUGAUGCUGACAUGGGCAAGGUAAUUUUAAAAAAAAACAACUCCAUUGUAGAAUUUACAUUGAUUAAUAGAGUUAUUGAAAAAAAAUAUUCCAUCUCAACAAAAUAACGCAGUUACUAAUCUUCUAGGUAUGGUAGAUCUCAGAAAAAAUGGAGAUUAAGAGCUAUAUCUCUGAAUGUUCAGAUUUGGUUUUACCUCCGGUUAUAGUACUAAAUCAAUGAAGAUUGUUAACUCGUUAGUUCAGCUGGCCUCUAAUUAUCUGAAAUUGUUCAGGCAUUGACCUUUGCAUAUCUCUAUCUGGUUCCCCUUCUUUGAUUUACUAGUUCCCUGUGGAAAACAGCAGACAAAACACACAAAAAAGUGUCAUGCUUAGAACAUGUGGGGACUCAAUGUCUAAAAAAAAAAAAUCAGUUUUGUGUGUUUUACCUCAAUAGUGCAUUACUGAAAACUUUUUGACGAAGAAGGUAGAGCCAGCUCUACCUUAUAGUCAUUUCAUUAAUAGAAACGAGAUUCAAAGUUACAAGAUUUUAGGUUAAGUGAGAUAGAGAAAAGGAAAGAAACAAGAAGAUUACAGAGAUACAGGGUGAGAGGAAAAAUAAAGAAAUAAAAUAAAAAAAAGGGGGUGGGGGUGGAUUUACAGGGGUAUAAACAGCAGGCUGUUGCCUAUGACGCACACCAAGAUUGAAUUUCGUGGCUAGUUCCUGUGUUGCUUCGCAGACACCAUAGCUUUAGGGUAUCACAGAUUUGUUGUGUGAUGUUCUGAAUAUGGUCCAUGUGUCUUUCGAAGACCAUGUUGUUUCGCGAUUUCCACAGCGUGUAAGCACAUGCUGCAAACCAGAUUGGUUCUAACCUUUUUGUUGAUUGGGUCCUGUCAAUGACUGCUUGGAUGAAGUCAGAGAUUGUUUCAGAUCUGUUGGCCGAAUGCAUAAGUCCUAGUCUUUUCCAAAGGUUGUUUGCAUUUCUGCAUCUUAGGAUAAUGCGGUCCGCUGAUUCCAGGGCCAGGCAGAUUGGGCAGUGGGGAUCAUUACUCCAUUUUUUGUUGACCAUAUUGGCUUUGGUAUUUAAUCUGUCUCUAAAAGCUAGCCACAGGAAUACCUUGCAGUUCUGAGGAAUUGUGUAGAUCCAUAUGUAAUCAGCCGGAUUCCAAAGGGAUCCAUGAAAAAGUCAGCAGUCUAUAAGCAUUUGCCGUUGAGAUCAAAGGCUUGGGAUACAGGAGUUCUCUUGUGUCUGCUGUCUCUGGAGAGGGGCUUAUAGUUUGUAGGUUUUGUAAUAGUGCUUGUAACUCUGUUUCUGCCUGGUAGGAGAGGUUGGGAUGGAGUUGUAGCUGCCAAGUAUUGUGACUAAAUUGUGAUUCAACUGCGCACUCUUUGUUUAUGGCAAAAGAGAACAGAACUGGGUAGGUAUAUUCCAGAUGUUGUGGCAUCCAUUGGUCUUUCCAAAAUAGAGUUGUUCUGCCAUUCCCAAGCUUUACCUGUGCUACUGAGCUUAGGAUCUGGAAGUGAGACAGAAUUAGCUUCCAGGUUGGCGUGUCAUUGUUUCUGGGCUUCAGUUGAAUUGUGCUCUGUAAAUAUUUCUGGCGAAACCAUUUGGCCAUUGGAUCGUUGGAGUCUGUAAGUACCCUAUUUGCUAAUUUUAAAAUCAGUGCUGUGUUAUGUGCCCUCAAGUCUCUGAUCCCCAAACCUCCCUGCUGUUUUUGUAGCAGUACAGUCUUCCAAGCCACAAGACAGUGACCUCCCUUUAUGGAUUUUUCUCCUUGCCAAAGAAAGGCACGUUUGAUCUUGUCAAUUGCUUCAAUUGAUUUUUCUGGCCAAAUACAACAGGACAUGUAGUAGGUUGGGAUUGCCGAGAUGAUUGAAUUUAUCAUGGUGAGUCUUCCUCCUUUAGAUAGAGGCAUCCAUCCAGCCAGAUACUUGUCGACCUUUGAGAUGACUGGUAGCAGCAUAUUGUGUGUACUUUUUGUGGUUGAUAGGGGUAAUCCAAGAUAGCUGCAUGGCAGUGAGCUUGUUGGGCAUUGUAGAAUCUGUGUCACCAUUUCCUUGGAUUCUUCAGCUAGGUGUAUUGGCACCAAGGUGCUUUUGUGGUAGUUGAUUUGCAGGCCUGAGAACCUUGUAAAAGAAUCCAAAAUCUCCUUCAGUGCUGUUGCUUGAUCUGUUUCCCCUUUUAACAGAAUUAGGGUGCCGUCUGCGUAUUGUAACGUUGGUGGUGCCCCGUCGAUAUCUAGAGGGUGUUUUAAGACCCCUGUGUUGUAGGCUUGCUGAAUCAUCUUUUGAAGCACAUCGGCAACCAGAAUGAAAAGAUAGGGUGAUAGAGGGUCUCCUUGUCGAACUCAUCUUUUGUAUUAUAUAUGUUCUCCUUUUUGUCCAUUGAUGAUAAUCUGAGCCUUGCCUGAACAUAAGAGUGUCUUGGUCCAACCAAUCCAUUUCUCCGGGAAACCUCUCGUUUCAAGAACUCUAAACAAAGCAUCCCAGCUGACAGUGUCAAAAGCCUUGUAAAAGUCCAAUUUGAGAACUAACAUUGGUUUUUUGUUCUUUAGGGCUGAUUGUACUAGCUCUGAGGCGAAGAUUAGAUUUUCCGUGAUUGAUCUGCCUUUAAUGAAGCCUGACUGCAUAGGGUCAAUCAGCUUUGGUAUUUCCUUCUGCAACCUGAUUGUGAUAGUUUUGCUGAUAAGUUUUGGUACACUGUGCAAUAGUGAAAUAGGUCUGAAGUCUUUAAUCUGAACUGCUGUUGCUAUCUUCGGUAAGAGGGUAAUAUAUGAAUGAUUAACACCAGAGAGGUCGAUGCUGUUGUUGAACAGGUCUUGAAAAAUUGCUUGCAGAUCAGGAAGUAAUUUAUUGACAAAUUUUUUGUAGAAUUCGUUUGUGAAUCCGUCAGGUCCAGAGCUCUUGUUAUUUGGUGCACUGUGAAUGACCUUGGUAAUCUCUUCUCUGGUGAAAGGCAGACACAGAUCCUGUAGGUUUUCUGGCUGAGGGUAAAGCUGAGAUAGAGCAAAGUCUCUGUCUGAUGAAGAAGAUUCACUGAAUAUCUGUCGGAAGAAAGAAGUUGCAAUGGGUGCAGAAUCUGAUCGGGCCCUUCUUUUCCAUUUUAGUGUGAUGUGGCCGUUCAGUCCUGUGACGUUUGUUUGCAGCCUUUGUCGAAGAUAGAAUUCCAGAUCAGUUAGUUGACGGCAUUCCUCAAUCUUGUCCAGGUAGUCCAGAGUGUCUUUAUUGGCUGCCAGAAGCGUUGGAAGGUUUCGUUUAUUUCUGUUCCAGAAUCUUGCAUUGGCUCGCAGGCGUCUGAGUUUGUGGUUGAAACGGGGGAUCGCUGUCAUUGUUCUAGUUCCUCUGCUCCAGCUAGCUUCGGCCAUAGAGAUGAAGUCUGGUGUUUGUAACCAAUAGUUCUCCAGACGGAAUAUAUCUGAUUUUGUCCAGUUAUCUGAGAACUCUGCUAGGAUCGGUAUGUGGUCAGAAGUUGUAGCCACCAAUGCCCUAGCUGAUGUGGCUGUGAAAGCUUGAGCCCAGUUGGUAUCAAUGAGCACUCUAUCUAAUUUUACCAAAGUAGGACAUCUUUUAUUGGACCAGGUGAACUUUCUAUUUGGAAUGUCAAUGUCUAAUAACCCAACUUCAUUUACCAGUAGUUGAAAUCCUCCAUUCCUCUUGUAUUUAAAUUGUUAUUAUUCUUUUCAUGGGGUAAACGAUAAAUGUUGAAGUCUCAGAUACACAUCCAAGGUUCUUGAUUUGCUGAUGUAAACGUUGUGAGGUUAUCAAAGAGUUCUUGUUUUGCUGA